UGGGACAUUUUCCGUGAAUCCGUGGUGGUUCACUGGUGAGGGAGAGUAGCUGUACUAUGGGUGUAUACUAUUCUAUGUUCUUCUUCUUGGUUCUUUCUUUUCUUUUUCCCAAUUGGAUGGAGGGAGAAAGGGAAAUAUUGGGGAUUCAUUGCCGGUUGCAUGGUGGCGCUAUUUGCAUAUCUACUAUCAUGCCUCUUAGGGACUGCAUCAGUUGGGUGGUAUCUUAGCUGGCAAAGGCAACAGUGAGUGGAUGAGCGACUUGUUUUGGUGGUGUUGCGGUUGAGGUCGGAGGGUCUGGGAAGACGCUUCUCUCUCACCCAAGGUUAUCUGAAUAUUUAUUCUGUAUCAUGUCCUUUUGGUAGUUGGUUCUCCUAAUAUGAAAAAGGGGAGAGAAGGGUAGAUUUUGAUUUGGAUAUGAUUGGUUGUCAUAAGUUGGUCGUACUGUAGGUUUUCUGUGAACGACUUAACCAUUUCUCUAUAUGGGAUACGUUAGGUAUGUUUGUUGGACAGACGGCGGCGCAAACAGUGCAGAGAGGUGGGUUAGGUGGUAUACAGAAACAUCUAUAUAUCUCCUUUUGAUAAUGUAGAUAUAUCUAAGAGGUGGUUGGUUGGGUUGGUUAAGCGCCCACGGCUGAGGGAUAUCUAGGUACUGUGUAUACAUGCAUGGUGUGUGUGUGUUAUCAUGAGCGAUUUGAAGGAGUGGGUGGAGGAGGGAGGGAACUUGAGGAGGGUUGAUGAGGAUGAUGGUGGGAUAAAGAAAUGAUGAAAAGGGGGAACUGGCUGGUAGUGUGCUCGUACAUGCUAGAGUAUGUUCCGAAGGUGUGUCAGAUUAAAAAAAAAAAAAAAAAAUCUAUAUGAAAGGAUCAGGGG
rnacentral:sRNA from 1 species